GACAGGUGCUGCAUGGCUGUCGUCAGCUCGUGUCGUGAGAUGUUCGGGGUUAAAGUCCCCGCAACCGAGUCGCAACCCUUGUCUCUAGUUGCCACCAUUCAGUUGGGCACUCUAGAGAGACUGCCGGUGAUAAACCGGAGGAAGGUGGGGACGACGUCAAGUCCUCAUGGCCUUAUGCCCAGGGCUACACACGUGCUACAAUGGAUCGUACAAAGGGUCGCGAACCCGCGAGGGGGAGCCAAUCCCAAAAACCGGUCCUCAGUUCGGAUUGGAGUCUGCAACUCGACUCCAUGAAGUUGGAAUCGCUAGUAAUCGUGGAUCAGCAUGCCACGGUGAAUACGUUCCCGGGCCUU
rnacentral:rRNA from 1 species